rnacentral:rRNA from 1 species
AUUGAACGCUGGCGGCAUGCCUUACACAUGCAAGUCGAACGGCAGCGGACCUUCGGGUGCCGGCGAGUGGCGAACGGGUGAGUAAUAUAUCGGAACGUACCUUUCAGUGGGGGAUAACGUAGCGAAAGUUACGCUAAUACCGCAUAUUCUGUGAGCAGGAAAGCAGGGGAUCGCAAGACCUUGCGCUGAUUGAGCGGCCGAUAUCAGAUUAGCUAGUUGGUGAGGUAAAGGCUCACCAAGGCGACGAUCUGUAGCGGGUCUGAGAGGAUGAUCGCCACACUGGAACUGAGACACGGUCCAGACUCCUACGGGAGGCAGCAGUGGGGAAUUUUGGACAAUGGGCGCAAGCCUGAUCCAGCCAUGCCGCGUGAGUGAAGAAGGCCUCGGUUGUAAG